rnacentral:lncRNA from 15 species
GUUGGAAAUGUCGUCCUCAUCUGCAACCAAAAUGUACAUGAACAGUAUAAAGGUAAGUGUUGUAANNNNNNNNNNNNNNNNNNNNNNNNNNNNNNNNNNNNNNNNNNNNNNNNNNNNNNNNNNNNNUCACCAUCUGUUCCAGGCGGAUUUGAAGCGUCUGAAGAGGGAGGUGCGUUCAUUCUGCAGAGUCUGUCAGACCUGUCUGUCUCUGAACCAGACUGAGAUCAGAGAUCAGGCAUUUGAGCUGCUCUGUGACCUGCUGCUCUUGUACAGUGCAAGUUCAGCCCACUCUGGAACCGCCCUCCAAACGCUGGUCCACCUGCCGUCUGCUCUCUCUCUGACAGUGAAGAUACUGAGCUCAAUGGUACCCUCUCUUAAUAAAGUUUUGGAUUAAUGGUGGUACUUUCCAGAGCACUUUCAGUCAACACAGUGAGUCCUGUUACAGUCCGUCCUCUUCGUUUUAUACACUACUAAAUGACGAUGUUCACAAUUUAGUUUUUUUGUUUUACGGAUGUGAGUGUUUGAGAAACUCACUGCUCAAUUUUAACACCACCAAAGCUCUCUCAGAGGACCCUACCACAUUCAAGCAUAGUUUUUGAUGUCUUGUUUGGGAAUCUGCUGCUAUAACAAAUCUUUUUUUCCCCCUGUAUUUCACAAUAUGCAGCCAAAUAACACACGUUCUGUUUUUACUUGUAUCUUAUCGACACCUCAACGUUUUCAAUUGGUUGCUGCCCGUCUUGUCCUCUACCCUCUCUCCUCUCUAGCUGAGGGUGAGGAGGAGAUGAAGAUAACUGUUCUCCAGAAGAAGCGCAACCAGCUGGCUGGCUACUGUAAGCUGGUUCUUCUUCAAGCACUACAGCAAGGUUGAGCUGGAGUAAUACCUUUUAAGUUUUAUUAGCUAGCCUAGCAUGUUAUAUGUGUAUUAUAAGCACACAUAUCCAUAUGCAUUGCUAGCUGUGUCACCUGUGUGGUUAUACAUGUGAGCAAAAUGUGUUAAAUUGAUUAAAAGAUAAAUUGGGGAGGAUGGAGUGGAGGAUGGUGAGAAAAUCAGUUUUAGAACCAGCGAGGAGCCAAGAAUGAGUCAGAGGGAACAGUGGUUAAAAGAAGCACUGAUGACUAGAAAGGAGUGGAUUCAUUUUACAUAUUUAGACACUGCCAUUAAUUAAAUAGACUAAUGAUCAUAACUUCACUUUUUUCUUUUUCUUCUCCAGUACUUUAAAGACUUUGGCGACAUCAUUAAAGAGACUGUAAGCAAGAGCAAGCUCAUCAGUCCGGUUCAGAGCGCUAAGACUGUCUGUCUGAGUCUGCAGCAGGUUUGCACUCACACCAAUAACCAGCCUCUAAUUAUUCCUGACAACUUUUAUUAUGUUGUGUCAUGGCAAUGGACUUUUAAUGACUACAUGAGAUACAGUUACCAGUGGAUUUGUCAUUAAUCAUGAUGAUAAUACUAAUACUGUAUUAUAUUGAAAAUAGUACUUCUAUAUGUUGGUUCCUCUUGAAUCUUAGUUCAAACUUUUAAUCUGUUUAUUAAAACAUCAUUGCAAUGUUCACGCUCAUGAGUGUGCUCUGAAACCGUUACCUGGAACUGACAUGUUCAUCAUGUGGCUGGAUCUUAAAGUUAAAUCUUAAAUACUUUACCUCUAAAAAGGCAAUUGUACUGUUUUUAAGUUGUUUAGCUUGAUUUCUACAUGCUAAAAUAUCUACAUACAAGCAUAUAUCACUACAUUAUGACAAUAUCAUGUGCAUAAAUUGCUUGUAAAUGGGAAUCUAUGUAUUUAUUACCUAUUUAUUACUAUAUAACAUUUGUAUUGUGCCUGACAGAUGUCCAACCAAAAAUGAUAUAAAACAUAAAUCCCAGAGUCAUAUAUCAAUUAUAAGUUAUUGUGCUUCAUGUAGGAAAGCCUCUCUUAUUUGGUCCAACAGGCCUAUUAAAACCAGUACAAGUAUUUUUUUCAACCGAAGCGGACCAGUGGAACCAUCUGUCCAUAUCUAUAGAACUGUUUGAAUGACGGGCCCUUUGUGUAACGUGUUUAUGUAAAGUCAUGUUUGCGUCUGUUCAGCUGUUCUCGGAGAUGCUUACGGAGGACCACAGCAGGCAGGAUCUCGGUGAGAUUAGAGAAUUGGCCAAGAGGCUUGCCAUGAGCUUUGGCGUCGAUCUCCAUCGUGUCCGUAAACCACUGGUGGCCCUGCACACGUAAGCAACAAACGUGUCUCUGACAAACACAUACACACCAGUGCUCUCAGGUUAUAGCUCAGUUUAUUCAUGUUUGACUUUCAAGAGUGAUGAUCAAACUGUAUCUGUUCAUUCUGUGUUAUAGAUUGGUUUUGUUAUGUGUUACAGAUAUUGUGUGUGUUGUGUCUUUUAGGGACGGUAUACGGUUUGCGUUUCGGGACCCACAGGAGGGAGAAGAGCAGCAUCCAAAUGUGGCCUUCAUGGAGAUCCUCAGCGAGUUCAGUUUCAAGCUGCUGCAACAGGACCGCACCCAACUGUGAGAAACAAAAACCCACAAACUAAUGCACAUUUACUCAAAUAUAUGUGCUUUUUGUCAUUCUUCCACUGAAUCUCAGUACCUUAAUACUAACUUAACAGUGUAAGUAUUAUAUGGUAUUGACAUAACAAAACAACAUCUUUUUCCCAAAGAGGAAACAAAAAAGCCUCAGUUUGAAUCUGACUGUAUUAUGUUGGAAUGUAUUCAUUAUAGUAGGUGUGAAAGUUACUUUAGUUUAUGUAUUAGUCAGUGUAUUGGACUGGAUUUGAGUCAUCAUAAUUCACAGAAACUUGAAAAAACUGACAAAUGUUGAUAUCAACAAAGGUUUUUUGGUCUUUGUCCUCCUCUCUCUAUCACUCUGCCAUCCCCACCCAGGGCUGAAUUUAUGAAAUCAGAGUGUCCCAGUGCUGCCCUCUCCUGGCCGUCAGUCAGAAUUUUCGCCUCCUCCAUGAUACCCCUGUAGCUAAGCGCAAGAGAACCACUGCUCAGGGUGAGACGGACACACAGCACAUAUAACAGUUAUACUUAUGGGCUAAAUGACUGAUUUGGACACUAUGUACGAAUCUGUCUGUGAUUCUGUUCCUAAGCAGGUGGGUCAGAGUUGAGGUUCUGCAAAGGAACAGUGUUGUUGGAGUUGAUCAUAAUUUAGUGAAAGGAAGGUCUCCUUAACCUUAAAAUUAAACUUAACUAGGGCUGCAACAACCAUUAUUUUCAUUAUUAAUUAUUAUUUCUAUUGGCAUUAUUCAAAAUUAUAAAGGAAAUGUUGAAAAAAGCCUAUCACAAGUCCCCCAAGCCCAAGGUGAGGUCUUCAGAUUGCCUCUAAUGUUUUACCAUUGGAAGAUGUUCAGUUUACAGUGAUAUCAAACAGAGAAGCACUGCAAAUCCUCAAAAUGAACUUGACUUAAAUGACUUUGAGUAUAUCUUCUUUGUAGUUUGUAAACACCUAAAAUCAACAAAGUCUUAUAGUUAUUAACC